UGAUCCAGCCAAUGAAAUGGCGAGGUGCUGGUUGCUUGACAACAGGCUGGCCAAUGAGCGUCGAUUUUGUUUAUUCAGAAGAACGGAGGUGCGCUUCAAAUCACCCAAACAUCUCGUUCGCUUCAGGGCAGGUGAUGAUCCUCUUCUCACACUGCAGUCUCUCUCUCUAACACUGAUCAGUGUGAUUCAUUUAGUCAGUGUGACACGAGCUUAUGGCGAUCUGACUGUGUGGAUCCGCGGAGCUGCUGCUGAUAUUUAAGGAGCCUUUGGUGCUCCAGGAGAUCAGCGUCCCACAGAGCUUCAUGUUUAAAGCUGUUGAAACAGAUUCUGGCUCCUCUCCC